rnacentral:rRNA from 1 species
GUUAACGCUGGCGGUAGGCCUAACACCUGCAAGUCGAACGGCAGCACAGUAAGAGCUUGCUCUUACGGGUGGCGAGUGGCGGACGGGUGAGGAAUACAUCGGAAUCUACUUUUUCGUGGGGGAUAACGUAGGGAAACUUACGCUAAUACCGCAUACGACCUACGGGUGAAAGCAGGGGAUCUUCGGACCUUGCGCGGUUGAAUGAGCCGAUGUCGGAUUAGCUAGUUGGCGGGGUAAAGGCCCACCAAGGCGACGAUCCGUAGCUGGUCUGAGAGGAUGAUCAGCCACACUGGAACUGAGACACGGUCCAGACUCCUACGGGAGGCAGCAGUGGGGAAUAUUGGACAAUGGGCGCAAGCCUGAUCCAGCCAUACCGCGUGGGUGAAGAAGGCCUUCGGGUUGUAAAGCCCUUUUGUUGGGAAAGAAAAGCAGCAGGUUAAUACCCCGCUGUUCUGACGGUACCCAAAGAAUAAGCACCGGCUAACUUCGUG